rnacentral:rRNA from 1 species
AUUGAACGCUGGCGGCAGGCCUAACACAUGCAAGUCGAGCGGAUGAAGGGAGCUUGCUCCUGGAUUCAGCGGCGGACGGGUGAGUAAUGCCUAGGAAUCUGCCUGGUAGUGGGGGAUAACGUCCGGAAACGGGCGCUAAUACCGCAUACGUCCUGAGGGAGAAAGUGGGGGAUCUUCGGACCUCACGCUAUCAGAUGAGCCUAGGUCGGAUUAGCUAGUUGGUGGGGUAAAGGCCUACCAAGGCGACGAUCCGUAACUGGUCUGAGAGGAUGAUCAGUCACACUGGAACUGAGACACGGUCCAGACUCCUACGGGAGGCAGCAGUGGGGAAUAUUGGACAAUGGGCGAAAGCCUGAUCCAGCCAUGCCGCGUGUGAGAAGAAGGUCUUCGGAUUGUAAAGCACUUUAAGUUGGGAGGAAGGGCAGUAAGUUAAUUCCUUGCUGUUUUGACGUUACCAACAGAAUAAGCACCGGCUAACUUCGUG